ACUGCAGUCGAGCGGACGAAGGGAGCUUGCUCCCGGAUGUUAGCGGCGGACGGGUGAGUAACACGUGGGUAACCUGCCUGUAAGACUGGGAUAACUCCGGGAAACCGGAGCUAAUACCGGAUAGUUCCUUGAACCGCAUGGUUCAAGGAUGAAAGACGGUUUCGGCUGUCACUUACAGAUGGACCCGCGGCGCAUUAGCUAGUUGGUGAGGUAACGGCUCACCAAGGCGACGAUGCGUAGCCGACCUGAGAGGGUGAUCGGCCACACUGGGACUGAGACACGGCCCAGACUCCUACGGGAGGCAGCAGUAGGGAAUCUUCCGCAAUGGACGAAAGUCUGACGGAGCAACGCCGCGUGAGUGAUGAAGGUUUUCGGAUCGUAAAGCUCUGUUGUUAGGGAAGAACAAGUGCAAGAGUAACUGCUUGCACCUUGACGGUACCUAACCAGAAAGCCACGGCUAACUACGUGCCAGCAGCCGCGGUAAUACGUAGGUGGCAAGCGUUGUCCGGAAUUAUUGGGCGUAAAGGGCUCGCAGGCGGUUUCUUAAGUCUGAUGUGAAAGCCCCCGGCUCAACCGGGGAGGGUCAUUGGAAACUGGGAAACUUGAGUGCAGAAGAGGAGAGUGGAAUUCCACGUGUAGCGGUGAAAUGCGUAGAGAUGUGGAGGAACACCAGUGGCGAAGGCGACUCUCUGGUCUGUAACUGACGCUGAGGAGCGAAAGCGUGGGGAGCGAACAGGAUUAGAUACCCUGGUAGUCCACGCCGUAAACGAUGAGUGCUAAGUGUUAGGGGGGUUUCCGCCCCUUAGUGCUGCAGCUAACGCAUUAAGCACUCCGCCUGGGGAGUACGGUCGCAAGACUGAAACUCAAAGGAAUUGACGGGGGCCCGCACAAGCGGGUGAAGCAUGUGGUUUAAUUCCGAAGCAACCGCGAAAGACCCUUACCAGGGUCUUGACAUCCUUCUGACAACCCCUAGAGAAUAGGGCUUUUCCCUUCCGAGGAACAGAGUUACCAGGUGGUUGCAUGGUUGGUCCUCCAGCUCCGUGUCGGUGAGAAGUUGGUGUUUAAGUUCCCCCCAACCGAGCCCCGAACCCUGUGUAUCUUUAAGUUGGCCAAGCAGUUUCAAGUUGGG
rnacentral:rRNA from 1 species